UCUUCGGGCCGAAGAGUGGGAGAUUCAAGCCCAACCCUAAAGAGAAAAAAGAGACAUGAGCCCGAAGAGUGGGAGAUUCAAGCCCAACCCUAAAGAGAAAAAAG
rnacentral:sRNA from 1 species